CUGGCAAUGAAACAAGCUAGCCAUAACUACUGCCUAGUGUGAACUUCAUUAAGUAUGUCCUUAUUUAUGGAUAAAAUUAUAUGAUGUCAGGCUACUAUAGGAAUAAGAAUAAUAUGAAGAUAGGAAGGAGUGAGUUGUCGUUUAAAUGAAACAGCAUUGGCCAUGAGUUGGUAAUUGCUAAAGCUGGGAUUCAUUGUAUUAUUUUGUCAAAAUAUCCCAUCAUAAAGGCUAAAAAUGUCACCAAGCCCCAUAAUUUUAAACAAGUCCUUUCUCCAUGUAUUGCAGAGCAAACAUUGUUCAUCGUAUGGUGCUUUGCUCAGUUUCCACGCAGGCUUACCCACUUGCGUUAGCGAUUAGGACAUGUGAAUGUCACCACUGAGGCACUAAGAGUUUUUUCAGAAGUCAACACUGUUCAGGUAUUUGCUGGGAUUAGACCAUGCCGGAGAGUUGGCCCCAGAAGAGAACAUGACCAGCUGGCAAAUCCUGACCCUUGGCCACAGGGUUAAAAAUAGUGACCUAUGUAUAUUUAUUAUGUCAAAUUAGAUUCAUAGCAGCUUCAAGUUAUAUAAAACAUUUGCUUCAGACACACUGGCCUCGGAAUCCUACAGAUAGACGUUUGAAUCCCCUACUCUGAAUAACUGAGCCAUGUGACUUUAACGAAGGCACUUAAACAUUGAUAAGGUGAGGGUAAUAAUAUAACCCAAUAUGGGGGUAUUCUGGUGGUCAGAUGAAAUAAAAAUGUAUAAAAUGCCUCGCAGAGCUCCUGGCACAGUAAUGCCCUCAACAAAAUGGUAAUUGUCAUGAAUACUAACAAGACUAUGUCCAAGUGAACCCACCACGGGCGAGUUUAAGAUCACCACCAGUCUGAGCUGUGUUCUGGGAGGGCUGUCCAUCGUAGAACUCUCUCCUGUCACGAGGUGACUUGGGAAGCCUGAUGGGAAGGUUUGGCUUUGGAGGUAAGGGACCUGCCUUCGCUGAGCCCCGUGUUGUCAGGAACCCUUUAUGCUCCUCUGCUAUGGAGGCAGCUGAGCUGGCUGGUGUAAGAGGCACAAAUCCUUAAGAUUCUGGUUGUAGACUUCCUAACCGCAGAUUUCAAGGAGCUAAGCUUUUCCCCAGUAUAUGCAAAGCAAUGGUUAUGUGCAUUUUUCUUAGAGAUAAAAGAUGAUUCCUGGCUUUUGUCAAAUUCUCAUAAGUCUUUAUUAUCUAAAUUGAAGGUUAGGAACCUCUGCUCUUAAUCUGGGUUCAGAAUGUGGAUUUGAGAAAUUAAAUGGAAAGAAUAUUUUAAAAUUCCCAACCUGGAGGUAAUUUUUUUUGAACACAUGUCUCCAUUCUGUCACUCAUUUGGCAGAGUGAACGUCAUUGUGCAAAUUCUGACAAACUCAGAGGCCUCUCCUGGUUACAUACUAAUUAGUCAGAAAGCAAGAAUCUCAAACGCAUUUUGCUUUGAAAAUGUUAACUUUUUAUAAACAAAUCAGAAAAUAGAUUUCUCAAAAGUGUUUAACAGGUAUGAAUUGUGAUUUCUGAGACAGUUUUGCCAAAGUACUCAAAAUGUCAAGAAAAAGUGGUUCUUGGUAUAUGGAAGUGUUUAUCUGUUUCUGCUUUUCCAGUUGCUACUAAAUGGUAUCUAGAAACUACUGGAGGCUGUUACCUUAUCGGUUUAAUUAUAAGUAAGUUUUCAUUUUUUUUAAAAAGGGUUGCAAGCAAUAUUUCAGGGCACAUAAUGUGUGCCCUUAUCUAAUGUUCUGUUUUGUCUACAUGCACAGUUUCAGGAUGUGAAGGACAGGUGUGGGCUUGCAGUAUCCCAGGACCACGUUUCCAGCAGGAUAGAUGGAAAGAAACCUUCGCAGAUCUACUCGUGAUUUUAUUGGAAAGUCCUUCCUCUCGUCUUACUCAACAGCAACAAAAGAAAUAGGUCUUGCUUUAAACUACUUGGUUAUACUUAUCAUUGGAAGCAUGUAUGUUUAGAGCUCAUCUGUUACCACCGUGGCUGGCAAGGCGGAGAUGCUGGAGUGGCAUCCACCAAAGCCAAGAGUCUGGCUUCCAGAGUACUCGCUUCCAGAAGGUGAACAAACGCUGGGGGCCGAACUGCAGAUUUGGCUGGCAGCUGGGAAUACGGUGCGUCCUUCCACGCCUUCUGUUCCAAAAGCAUUUUCAUAAGCUGACUUCCACCAGGGGCUAAAAAGAGAUCCCCGCAGAACUGAAAGAAUAUUGUUAUUCCUUCCAUAUGGCACGGAUACUGUUAUUCUAAUAUUACCCCAGUCUGAAAGCCCCAGCAGACAUUUUCAUUGUAAUCAGAUGCAAUAAAACAUGGAAAUGAGUGUCUUCA